CCUACGGGGUGCUGCAGUGAGGAAUAUUGGUCAAUGGGCGCGAGCCUGAACCAGCCAAGUAGCGUGAAGGAUGACGGCCCUACGGGUUGUAAAAUUCUUUUAUAAAGGAAUAAAGUGAGGCACGUGUGCCUUAUUGUAUGUAGUUUAUGAAUGAGGAUCGGCUAACUCCGUGCCAGCAGCCGCGGUAAUACGGAGGAUCCGAGCGUUAUCCGGAUUUAUUGGGGUUAAAGGGAGCGUAGAUGGGUUGUUAAGUCAGUUGUGAAAGUUUGCGGCUCAACCGUAAAAUUGCAAUUGAUACUGGCAGUCUUGAGUACAGUUGAGGUAGGCGGAAUUCGUGGUGUAGCGGUGAAAUGCUUAGAUAUCACGAAGAACUCCGAUUGCGAAGGCAGCUUACUAAACUGCCACUGACAUUGAUGCUCGAAAGUGUGGGUAUCAAACAGGAUUAGAUACCCGUGUAGUC
rnacentral:rRNA from 1 species